GGCGACCGGCGCACGGGUGAGUAACGCGUAUGCAACCUACCCAUAACACGAGGAUAGCCUGUUGAAAGACGGAUUAAUACUUGAUAACACAGGGAUACCGCAUGGUAUUCUUUGUUAAAGAUUUAUUGGUUAUGGAUGGGCAUGCGUUGGAUUAGCUAGUUGGUAAGGUAACGGCUUACCAAGGCGACGAUCCAUAGGGGAACUGAGAGGUUUAUCCCCCACACUGGUACUGAGACACGGACCAGACUCCUACGGGAGGCAGCAGUGAGGAAUAUUGGUCAAUGGGCGAGAGCUUGAAUCAGCCAAGUCGCGUGAAGGAAGACGGUAUUAUGUAUUGUAAACUUCUUUUAUAGGGGAAUAAAGGGGCCUACGUGUAGGUUUUUGCAAGUACCCUAUGAAUAAGCAUCGGCUAACUCCGUGCCAGCAGCUGCGGUAAUACGGAGGAUGCGAGCGUUAUCCGGAUUUAUUGGGUUUAAAGGGUGCGUAGGUUGGCUAAUAAGUCAGCGGUGAAAUCCCGGUGCUCAACACCGGGCCUGCCGUUGAAACUGUUAGUCUUGAGUGUGAACGAGGUAGGCGGAAUUCGUAGUGUAGCGUGA
rnacentral:rRNA from 1 species